GACCUUUUAUAGUUCAUGAGUGAUGAUUGGGUGUUCAUGUGCAUGUGUGAGAUGUGCUGCCUUUGAUCUGUGUUACCAUGUGGGCACACUACCGGUCUGACA